GCCAGCAUGGCAUAGUGGUUUGAGUAUUGGACUAGGACUCUGGAGACCAGAGUUCAAAUCCCAGUUCAGCCA
rnacentral:tRNA from 1 species